rnacentral:rRNA from 1 species
GUGGGGAAUAUUGGGCAAUGGGGGCAACCCUGACCCAGCGACGCCGCGUGAGGGAAGAAGGCUUUCGGGUUGUAAACUUCUUUUACCAGGGACGAAACAAAUGACGGUACCUGGUGAAUAAGCCACGGCUAACUACGUGCCAGCAGCCGCGGUAAUACGUAGGUGGCGAGCGUUAUCCGGAUUUAUUGGGUGUAAAGGGCGUGUAGGCGGGACAGCAAGUCAGAUGUGAAAACCAGAGGCUCAACCUCUGGCCUGCAUUUGAAACUGUUGUUCUUGAGUGUCGGAGAGGUAAUCGGAAUUCCGUGUGUAGCGGUGAAAUGCGAAGAUAUACGGAGGAACACCAGUGGCGAAGGCGGAUUACUGGACGAUAACUGACGCUGAGGCGCGAAAGCGUGGGGAGCAAACAGGAUUAGAAACCCUAGUAGUCC